UGGAGACCUGGCACAUUGGAACCAUUUGGCCAAGUCACACAAUGUGCCUGCGGCAGAGCCUCCAGGCCCAUGUUCAAAGGAUGACAUAACUCCUUACUCUCGAUCGCCUCUGUCUGUGGAGAGCAAGUCAGGCUUCUCUCUAGCCUCCCAACAGAGUCUCCAGCAAGAACAGGCUGAGGGCAGGGAGCUGCUGCCUUGGGGGCUGACUCCUGGCAUCCCAGUUCUAACCCCAAUUAUAGAAAUAAUAGUUAAUGCGACUGUGCCCCAGCCCUGGCUUUUCACAUACCAGCCCGAGUGAAAAGAUCAACACCUCUAAGAAGAGUAUGGUCAAUCCACCUUACAGCUCAGAGAAGUCCAGUUCAUCUUUGGAAUUCAGACCCAGAGGUGGAUACGAUCGUACCCAUUUUACAGACAAGAAAACUUGAACUCAGGCCACACAGCUGAAGCAGGAGAUGUUGGGGAAGUCCCGAGUACAGCCCUCCUCAUCAGGGCAGAAGGUAAGGUGUGGA